UCCUUCUGCAGCUGUACGAUGGUCUGCCCGCCCUUGCCAAUGAUGGAGCCUGCUGCGUAGCUGGGGAUCAGCACCUUCAGGAAACCCUUCUACAGAACCCAGGACAUGCUAACCUCUGCUCCAACUACUGUACGCAUACCAGUUCUUUGAAUUUCCACACUGGUGCCAUGAAACACGUACUUUUUGAAAGCCCAUUUUACAGAUGAGGAAACAAAGAAGGAAACUGAAGCGCAGAGACAGUGAAGGCACCAGCCCAAGGUCAGCUGCUCAAGGGCACCAAGACAGCCACUGGCUUGAGGGUCCAAUGCAAUCCUGCUUCCUUCUUGGCCCCCACUUGCCUAGCACCUUCCGAUCCUGCUAGCUAAGAGCAACACACUCAAGGACAGUCUCCAAGACCUACAGGUGGUGACAGUGGCCACUGUGGGACUGUGGCCAUUCUUUUUUAUGGACCAGUCUUCUCGGUCAUGUGUAAAGCACUUUGUGAAUGCACUCAAGGCACAUGCCUAACCUCUCCUACCUUCUAACCAAACUGUUGCCCCUAAGUUCUCAUAGGGUGGGAAUUCUGGAGACUUCUCAGUAGAAGAUCCUCUGUGA